UACGUAGGGUGCGAGCGUUGUCCGGAUUUAUUGGGCGUAAAGGGCUCGUAGGCGGCGUGUCGCGUCGGGAGUGAAAGACCGGGGCUUAACCCCGGUUCUGCUUCCGGUACGGGCAUGCUGGAGUGUGGCAGGGGAGACUGGAAUUCCUGGUGUAGCGGUGGAAUGCGCAGAUAUCAGGAGGAACACCGGUGGCGAAGGCGGGUCUCUGGGCCAUUACUGACGCUGAGAAGCGAAAGCGUGGGGAGCGAACAGG
rnacentral:rRNA from 1 species